UUGAUGCGAGGACAAGACGGAUUAUUAUUUUGGAAAAAUGGUGAAGAGUGCAUUCGGUUAAUGCACGGGCGCAUUGAAUGAAAUUAAGCCGAUUGACCAGGAUUUCGAAACGUCGAAUGUGGUUGAGGUUUGAGAAAUCCAAGUAAUUUAUUCGUUCGGUGUCUAUUUUAUUCCAGACCAGACUUCCCUAAAGGAGUUAAAUGCCUGACAGCAAUCCCUGGAGAAUCUCUGUAAUUAAAGGCUUUCAAACAUUGCGUAUCUUCCAAGACAAUUGAACUAUCAACAUCAAAAAUAAUUGGAGGUGGCUUGAGGAUGUUCGACAUGCACAUAAAUAUAUAAUAUUACAUUAUAUUAUAAUCCAAAUUUAUGGUUUUAAAAUUUCUUGACAAAUUAUCGAUAAGAUUUUCAUGUAAAAAAAUAUAACAUUUAAUGGUUCAUCAAGUUUUACGGUGGUGCGAUGAUUUUCAUGUAUUUUCUCUCGAGUGUUGCGAUUCUUUUUAUAAACAA